GGCCCGCACAAGCGGAGGAACAUGUGGUUUAAUUCGAUGAUACGCGAGGAACCUUACCCGGGCUUGAACUGCUGAGGAAGCGUGCAGAGACGCACGCGCCGCAAGGUCUCAGCGGAGGUGCUGCAUGGUUGUCGUCAGCUCGUGCCGUGAGGUGUCGGCUUAAGUGCCAUAACGAGCGCAACCCUUCUCCACGUUUGCCAUCGGGUUAAGCCGGGCACUCCGUGGACACUGCCAUCGUAAGAUGUGAGGAAGGUGGGGAUGACGUCAAAUCAGCACGGCCCUUACGUCCGGGGCUACACACGUGUUACAAUGGCAGGUACAGAAGGCAGCUACCCCGCGAGGGGAUGCGAAUCCCGAAAACCUGUCUCAGUUCGGACUGGAGUCUGCAACCCGACUCCACGAAGCCGGAUUCGCUAGUAAUCGCGCAUCAGCCAUGGCGCGGUGAAUACGUUCCCGGGC
rnacentral:rRNA from 1 species